rnacentral:rRNA from 1 species
CGCAUCUGUGCAUGCAGCAUAUCAAUAAGCGGAGGAAAAGAAACUAACAAGGAUUCCCCUAGUAACGGCGAGUGAAGCGGGAAGAGCUCAAAUUUGAAAUCUUAAAGGGUUUCCCUUUACGAAUUGUAGUUUAAAGAAGUGUUUUCUGUUGAGGUUUUGGUAAAAGUUCUUUGGAAUAGGACAUCAUAGAGGGUGAGAAUCCCGUAUUUGACCUUUACUUUCAACUUUGUGAUACACUUUCAAAGAGUCGGAUUGUUUGGGAAUGCAGUCCAAAAUGGGUGGUAAAUUUCAUCUAAAGCUAAAUAUUGGCGAGAGACCGAUAGCGAACAAGUACCGUGAGGGAAAGAUGAAAAGAACUUUGAAAAGAGAGUUAAACAGUACGUGAAAUUGUCAAAAGGGAAGCGUUUGACACCAGUGUUGUUUUUCUGAAAAUCAAUUAAAGAACUGUUUAUGCUAAGUUGUUUAGACUUUAUUAGCUAAUCUGCUUAGUUUUGAGCUUUUCUUUAAUGCACUUUUCAGUUAACAAGUCAACAUCAAUUUCUUUUGCUGUAAAAAAGCUUGAGGAAGGUGGCUUGAGAUUCGUCUUAAGUGUUUAUAGCCUCUUGCCUAUGCAGUCGGAGAGAUUGAGGUCUGCAGCGUAGAUCCUUCGGGGCUAAAUGCAUUUGUGCUAAGUUAUAGCAUUUUAUAGACAACUUGUUGACUAUGAUUUGUCUUGUAGCUUACUCGCUUAUGUUAUUUUACCUACGCUUAGGAUGUUGAAGAUGUAGCACAUCAU